CCAGCUCCAAUAGCGUAUAUUUAAGUUGUUGCAGUUAAAAAGCUCGUAGUUGGAUUUCGGGUGGGUUUCAGCGGUCCGCCUUUGGUGAGUACUGCUGCGGCCUUCCUUUCUGCCGGGGACGGGCUCCUGGGCUUCACUGUCCGGGACUCGGAGUCGGCGAGGAUACUUUGAGUAAAUUGGAGUGUUCAAAGCAGGCUUACGCUCUGAACAUUUUAGCAUGGAAUAUCACGAUAGGACUCUGGCCUAUCUUGUUGGUCUGUAGGACCGGAGUAAUGAUUAAGAGGGACAGUCGGGGGCAUUCGUAUUUCAUUGUCAGAGGUGAAAUUCUUGGAUUUAUGAAAGACGAACUACUGCGAAAGCAUUUGCCAAGGAUGUUUUCA
rnacentral:rRNA from 1 species